CCAGAACCAGGGCAAGAAGGCUGAGGGGGCCCAGAACCAGGGCAAGAAGGCCGAGGGGGCUCAGAACCAGGGCAAAAAGGCCGAGGGAGCCCAGAACCAGGGCCAAAAAGGAGAGGGAGCCCAGAAUCAGGGUAAAAAGACAGAAGGGGCUCAGGGCAAAAAGGCAGAAAGGAGUCCCAACCAAGGCAAAAAAGGAGAGGGAGCUCCCAUCCAGGGCAAAAAGGCAGAUUCGGUUGCUAAUCAGGGCACAAAGGUAGAGGGUAUUACAAACCAGGGGAAAAAAGCAGAAGGGUCCCCCAGUGAAGGCAAAAAGGCAGAAGGGUCCCCCAACCAAGGCAAAAAGGCAGACGCAGCUGCCAAUCAGGGUAAAAAGACAGAGUCAGCUUCUGUCCAGGGCAGAAAUACAGAUGUGGCCCAGAGCCCAGAGGCACCAAAGCAAGAGGCUCCUGCCAAGAAGAAGUCUGGUUCAAAGAAAAAAGGUGAGCCUGGAUUAUGCUGGUUUGCCUCCCACCUGGGCUGCCCUGAUCUUGUACUAAUCACCAUCUGGGUGUUACACUGGCAGGAGAGCUGUCCCACCCAGCACCUGGAAUCAAGUCUGGAUCCUACAGUGUGGGCGUAGACUGAGGAAGUACAUAUGUACAUUCUGAAGACCCCACAGUUAGCAUGAGCUCCAGAACAGUGUACUUUUAACUGGAGCUUGCUUCACUCAUUGUUGCUGCUGGUUGGAAACAGGUGUUUCCUCAUUACCUCUGCUAGCACGUCACUCAGGGGAUGCGGGGAUGCAGGGUACUUGUUGCACUCUUGGGGAGUCUGGAGCUCACCCAAGGACCUGUGACCUUUCUGCCUAAUGGACGGGGGUGGGUAACCCUGGGGACAUGGCACUUCUGUCUUGGCUGUGGGCCUGCUUUCUGCGGGGCCCUCUUUCCCCAGCCUGCUGAUGCAAGCCAGUUUUACUCUGUGGCCAGAGAGACCAUUGUGUCAUGGCCCAGGAGAACCCACCCAACCUCCAUGAGGUGGCAAACACUCAGAAACAGGCAUUUCAGAGGCCCAUUCUUGCCACGUUGUCAGAUAAGUCCAUGUGGGAAAAAGAGGCCACCUUUGGGAGGUAGGAUUAUGGGUAAAUGUUAGUAUCUUCCUUUCACCCUUCUGCAUUUUCCAGUUUUUCUAUAACUUUUUUUUUUUUAUGGAGAAGAAACAACUCCAUUAUGUGUCUCUAAGUCAAAUAAACAGGCC
rnacentral:lncRNA from 10 species